rnacentral:rRNA from 1 species
UACGGGGGGUGCAAGCGUUGUCCGGAAUCAUUGGGCGUAAAGCGUUCGUAGGCGGACUAUUAAGUCUGGUGUUUAAUCCUUGGGCUCAACUCAGGGUAGGCAUUGGAUACUGGUAGACUAGAAUGCGGCAGAGGUUAGGGGAAUUCCUGGUGUAGCGGUGAAAUGCGUAGAUAUCAGGAGGAACACCGGAGGCGAAAGCGCUUAACUGGGCCGAAAUUGACGCUGAGGAACGAAAGCCGGGGGAGCAAAU